GCCGGGUAUGGUGGCGCAUGCCUGUAAUCCCAGCUACUUGGGAGGCUGAGGCAGGAGAAUCACUUGAACUCGGGAGGUGGAGGUUGCAGUGAGCCAAGAUCCCAAGAUUGCACCAUUGCAGUCCAGCCUGGGCAACAGAGUGAGACUCCGUCUCAA
rnacentral:SRP_RNA from 1 species